GCACGGGUGCGUAACGCGUAUACAAUCUACCUUUUACAGAGAGAUACCCCAGAGAAAUUUGGAAUAAUACCUCAUAAUAUUGUUAAUUGGCAUCAAUUGACAAUUAAAGUUUCGGCGGUAAGAGAUGAGUAUGCGUCCUAUUAGCUAGUUGGUAAGGUAACGGCUUACCAAGGCGACGAUAGGUAGGGGUCCUGAGAGGGAGAUCCCCCACACUGGUACUGAGACACGGACCAGACUCCUACGGGAGGCAGCAGUGAGGAAUAUUGGUCAAUGGGCGAAAGCCUGAACCAGCCAUGCCGCGUGCAGGAAGACUGCCCUAUGGGCUGUAAACUGCUUUUAUACAGGAAGAAACACUCGGACGUGUCCGAGCUUGACGGUACUGUAUGAAUAAGCACCGGCUAACUCCGUGCCAGCAGCCGCGGUAAUACGGAGGGUGCAAGCGUUAUCCGGAAUCAUUGGGUUUAAAGGGUCCGUAGGCGGAUUAAUAAGUCAGGGGUGAAAUCCCACAGCUUAACUGUGGAACUGCCUUUGAUACUGUUAGUCUUGAGUUAUAUGGAAGUAGAUAGAAUGUGUAGUGUAGCGGUGAAAUGCAUAGAUAUUACACAGAAUACCGAUUGCGAAGGCAGUCUACUACGUAUAUACUGACGCUAAUGGACGAAAGCGUGGGGAGCGGACAGGAUUAGAUACCCUGGGUAGUCCACGCCGUAAACGAUGGACACUAGUUGUUGGAGCAACUCAGUGACUAAGCGAAAGUGAUAAGUGUCCCACCUGGGGAGUACGAUCGCAAGAUUGAAACUCAAAGGAAUUGACGGGGGCCCGCACAAGCGGUGGAGCAUGUGGUUUAAUUCGACGAUACGCGAGGAACCUUACCAGGGCUAAAU
rnacentral:rRNA from 1 species